GCCGCUGUGGCGAAAUUGGUAUACGCAUGGGAUUUAAAAUCCCCCGACAUUAACGUCAUACGGGUUCGAGUCCCGUCAGCGGCACCA
rnacentral:tRNA from 1 species